ACCAGACUCCUACGGGAGGCAGCAGUGGGGAAUAUUGCGCAAUGGGGGAAACCCUGACGCAGCAACGCCGCGUGAGUGAGGAAGUAUCUCGGUAUGUAAAGCUCUAUCAGCGGGGAAGAAAGAGGACGGUACCCGACUAAGAAGCCCCGGCUAACUACGUGCCAGCAGCCGCGGUAAUACGUAGGGGGCGAGCGUUAUCCGGAUUUAUUGGGUUUAAAGGGUGCGCAGGCGGAUUUUUAAGCCAGCGGUCAAAUCGUGGGGCUCAACCCCAUCCAGCCGUUGAAACUGGGGAUCUAGAGUGUGCGAGAGGUAUGCGGAAUGCGUGGUGUAGCGGUGAAAUGCAUAGAUAUCACGCAGAACCCCGAUUGCGAAGGCAGCAUACCGGUGCACAACUGACGCUCAGGCACGAAAGCGUGGGUAUCGAACAGGAUUAGAUACCCGCGUA
rnacentral:rRNA from 1 species